GUAGGGUGCAAGCGUUAUCCGGAAUCAUUGGGCGUAAAGAGCUCGUAGGCGGUUCAGCAAGUCGGCUGUGAAAUCCCGAGGCUUAACCUCGGAACUGCAGUCGAUACUGCUGUGACUAGAGUCCGGUAGAGGAGAAUGGAAUUCCCGGUGUAGCGGUGAAAUGCGCAGAUAUCGGGAGGAACACCAGUAGCGAAGGCGGUUCUCUGGGCCGGUACUGACGCUGAGGAGCGAAAGCGUGGGGUAGCAAACAGGAUUAGAUACCCUGGUAGUCCACGCCGUAAACGUUGGACACUAGGUGUGCGUUCCGACCAACGGGUGCCGUGCCGAAGCUAACGCAUUAAGUGUCCCCGCCUGGGGAGUACGGCCGCAAGGCUA
rnacentral:rRNA from 1 species